UCUGUUUCUUUUGUUUCUAGGCUUCUUAUUCAAGACCUUUGCCAUUACAUGUAGUACAAACUGACUCAAGCAGUGUUUCCAUGUCAGUAGGAAAAGGAAAGAGAAGAAAAAGGAGAAUGUCCCCUGGCUGCAGUAACCAGGAUCCUAAACAACCCCAAGUUGCAUCUGGGGACUUAGCAGGAAAAGGAAAGAGGAGAAAAAGGAGAAUGUCCCCUGGCUGCAGUAACCAGGAUCCUAAACAAACAAAAGUUGCAUCUGGGGUCUUAG